UACGGAAGGGGCAAGCGUUGUUCGGAAUCAUUGGGCGUAAAGGGCGCGUAGGUGGUUCUGUAUGUCUACCGUGAAAGCGUACGGCUCAACUGUAUUUUGUCGGUGGAAACUGCAGGACUUGAGGCUGGGAGGGGCUGGUGGAAUUCCCUGUGUAGCGGUGAAAUGCGUAGAGAUGGGGGAGAACACUCGUGGCGAAGGCGGCCAGCUAGACCAGUUCUGACACUGAGGCGCGACAGCGUGGGGAGCAAACAGG
rnacentral:rRNA from 1 species